UAAAUGCCUGGGAGAGAGGUUUCAGAAUACUCGAUUUAGCAGGCGACCGAGUAUUUGUUUAGUAUGCUAAUGAAGGGAUGAUGUGGGCUGUAGGCCACAGUGGAUUUGGGGAGAGACUUGGAUUCAGUAGUUGUAUGACCCUGACCCUUGACACAAUUUACUCAGCAAAUAUACCUCUGACUCAGAGCCCAUUUUAGUGGAGCGAUGUCUGUGCCAAAGGUCAUGAAACUAGAACUUGGGUUUCAGUGUCCACUCUGACAUAUCACAUGCCUUCUCCCCAGUCCCAGUGCCCCUGAGGUGGAGGCUGUCUCCACUGAGUGUUCUCCUUUCGCUUACGAUUUUCUUUCAGACCCUAUGUUCAAAGUCAAGCACACGAGAGCGGGGAAAGAUAACUUGCUCCAUUUCCUGGCAGCAGUGACCUUGUGCCCACAGGGGAGUAAGAUGUAUACUCUGUAGAAUGUGUGGAUCAAGGAAAUAUUACUAUGACACAUAGCACUCCAUUGGUUUUCCUGGGAACAAAUGGCAGUUUGCAGCAUGGCCACUGGUUUGAAGUCAGAACGUCUGUGAUUACCUGCACAAGGCCCGCCAAAGAUCAGGCCUGUCAGCAGUCUCUGACAGAAGGACAGAAAGACCACUGGACCCUCACUUGAAGUUCCACUCCCUCCUGCCUCCAGUCAAAUGUAAUCCUGCCCUACCUGCAUAUGGUUCUGAGGGAAUGGAACUUUUCAGUCAUGCGGCUAUUUGAGUCUCCUGCUCUCCUAAGGGUUAUCUCCCACCCAUGUGUGUCUAACUGUACCUAAGAGAUUCACUGGUUCCCAGGCUAGACUUGAAUGGAGCUGUCUUCGGUCUUGGAUCUCUCUUCUGAGGAAAUGAGUUUACAUCAAAGGGGGAUCAGGGGUCACACAUCUUGCUCCCCAUAUGCUUCUCUGCUCCCUGCAUGGGACUCAAAGGGCCUGGAUACACUUGUUUUGUGAAACCACCCCCAUCCUCAGAAGAGUGAAGAGACCCCAUUUCUGUCACAUGGGUUCUUCAGAGACCCCACCGUGUUGUCUGUCUCUGGUGAUGGGGUCCGUGAACUCUCCUGAGAGUACCUGCCAUGCUGUUGUCUGUCUGUCACGUUAUUUACUUUUCUAAUAAAUUCUUUACUC